rnacentral:rRNA from 1 species
AACCUCCGCAAUGUGGGAAAUCGCGACGGGGGGAUCCCAAGUGCCAUUCUUAACGGGAUGGCUUUUCUUAAGUGUAAAAAGCUUUUGGAAUAAGAGCUGGGCAAGACCGGUGCCAGCCGCCGCGGUAACACCGGCAGCUCUAGUGGUAGCUGUUUUUAUUGGGCCUAAAGCGUUCGUAGCCGGUUUGAUAAGUCACUGGUGAAAUCCUGUAGCUUAACUGUGGGAAUUGCUGGUGAUACUGUUGAACUUGAGGUCGGGAGAGGUUAGCGGUACUCCCAGGGUAGAGGUGAAAUUCUGUAAUCCUGGGAGGACCACCUGUGGCGAAGGCGGCUAACUGGAACGAACCUGACGGUGAGGGACGAAAGCUAGGGGCGCGAACCGGAUUAGAUACCCGGGUAGUCCUAGCCGUAAGCGAUGCGGACUUGGUGUUGGGAUGGCUUUGAGCCGCUCCGGUGCCGAAGGGAAGCUGUUAAGUCCGCCGCCUGGGAAGUACGGUCGCAAGACUGAAACUUAAAGGAAUU